UGGGGAAUAUUGGACAAUGGGCGAAAGCCUGAUCCAGCCAUGCCGCGUGUGUGAAGAAGGUCUUCGGAUUGUAAAGCACUUUAAGUCGGGAGGAAGGGCAGUAAGCGAAUACCUUGCUGUUUUGACGUUACCGACAGAAUAAGCACCGGCUAACUCUGUGCCAGCAGCCGCGGUAAUACAGAGGGUGCAAGCGUUAAUCGGAAUUACUGGGCGUAAAGCGCGCGUAGGUGGUUCGUUAAGUUGAAUGUGAAAGCCCCGGGCUCAACCUGGGAACUGCAUCCAAAACUGGCGAGCUAGAGUAGGGCAGAGGGUGGUGGAAUUUCCUGUGUAGCGGAGAAAUGCGUAGAUAUAGGAAGGAACACCAGUGGCGAAGGCGACCACCUGGGCUCAUACUGACACUGAGGUGCGAAAGCGUGGGGAGCAAACAGG
rnacentral:rRNA from 1 species